CCUGUUUAACAAAAACAUCGUCUUUUGUUUACUCGCAUAAAAGAUAAUGCCUGCCCAGUGAAAAUUUUAAACGGCCGCGUUAGCGUGAGCGUGCUAAGGUAGCGUAAUAAAUAGCCUCUUAAUUGGAGGCCAGUGAAUGGCAAGACUAGGGAUAUCUGUACCCUGUAUAAAAAAACAACUUUUCAUCUGGGUGAAAAGACCCAGAUAAUAAAGGAAGACGAAAAGACCCCGCGGAACUUUACCUUUUCCAGUCUCCACAUGCUCAGAAACAUAAAAACAAAAGGUUUGAUUGGGGCAAUCUCGGAACAAACCAAACUUCCGA
rnacentral:rRNA from 1 species